AUCAUUAUUUUCUCUCAAUUAUUUAUUACUUUUUCACACUUUUUUUCAUAAUUCAACAAUACAAUCAUUACAAAUCAAUUAAAAUCAAAACUCAACUCAACUCUCAAUCCAAACACACUCUGAGUGUUUCUGGGAAAAGCUUGCCUUAUGUCAAUUUGUUGCUUGAUCGGGUGGUUUUAACAGUUAGAACUUUUUUGUUUCAUUGAUCUUCUCUCAUAUGUCAGGUCCAAGCUACAUUUUCAAGGGGAUAUUUCUUAUACUCAAUCUAAUUAUUAUUAUUGCUUUAAAUAAUAUGAUAACUGGAUUUUAUUGCAAAAUCUGCAUGUUGUAGCAUGCUGCUGCUGACAAGUUUUCCUGCUCCUGAAAAGUCGAAGGUGACAAGUAAUGUUCCUUUAACCUCUGCCUAACAUACUGUCGAUCAUUUGGAAGAACAUUUAGCCGCCAGAGUAUUCGCGAAAGCACCAAUACUGAUGGCAUUUGAGAUGAUUGUGAAUAAGUAGGUCCGCCUAGGAUAACCGAUUUCAACGGUUAGUUUUGGAAUUAGGGUUCUUCAGCUGUUAAUGGUUUGAAUUUGAGGCACUUGAGGAACUUACAUCCUUUUCUUCAGAUCAGUUAUUAGACUUGUCAAGUGUGUCCAUCUUUAGUGACACGGUUAGGUUUUUUAUUGAGAUUUAUGAUUGCUUAGAGACAAAGUGCAGAGAAAGAUAAGAACCUAUAGUUGCAUUACUAUCACCUUAUCUAACAUGAGGAGCCAUAGAGCUGAAUUUUGAGGCUUAUCUGAUCUCAACAUGGAGUUUCUUUCAAUGUAAAGUUCAACUUUAAUGCAAGAGCGGCGGAGGAAUGCUUCUGGUCCUCCUUUUGUGGGGUUGAAGCUUGUCAAAGGAGCCAGCCUAACAUCUGCCAAGGUAAUUGCCCAACUUGCCAUUUUGCCUAAGAAGAUCUUGCAUUUAGUUCAACCACAACAAGAAAGGGAGGCUCAGGUAUCAAUGUUGUUCUAACUCGACGGCUUCAUAAAUUCCCUCCAAGGUUCACCCGUUGACGGAAUUCCAGAAAUGGAGGUCUGAGUGAUCAUUGUAUACCUGGAAGGGGAUAAGAGGCCAUUAAUGAAGGGCCCGAUCUAUCAAGGAAGACGGGGACUUUCUUCCAUGACUGGUAACCUCGAAAGGCCAACUCCAGUAUGUAAUUUGUGCAAUGGUACCCUUUUUUCCUCUUUGUGUAAUGUCCUUAAAUCUUCUUUUGCCCUACACCAGUAAAUGUGAGGCGUCCCGUUCUUUCCCCGUGAAAAGUUUUAUUACGACCCAAUUUUUAAUGUGGUCUUGCAAAAAACAGCUGGUAAAUUCUGUGAUUGUCUUAAGUUCACGGGUCUGAUUUGGCUUUGCAGCG